rnacentral:rRNA from 1 species
UACGGGGGGGGCAAGCGUUGUUCGGAAUUACUGGGCGUAAAGGGUUCGUAGGUGGCCAACUAAGUCAGACGUGAAAUCCCUCAGCUUAACUGGGGAACUGCGUCCGAUACUGGAAGGCUUGAAUCCGGGAGAGGGAUGUGGAAUUCCAGGUGUAGCGGUGAAAUGCGUAGAUAUCUGGAGGAACACCGGUGGCGAAGGCGACAUCCUGGACCGGUAUUGACGCUGAGGCGCGAAAGCCAGGGGAGCAAACGGG